CCGCUUCUUCGAACUACUAUAUAUAUCCCCUUUCCUCUUCGCUUCGCCAGUUGAAAUUCCUAUUUCAAUUCCCAAACCCCUUCGUCGUUGCGAUUAAAAAUAUGCAGAUGGGGACAAAUCAGAUGCAGUGGAAGAAACCUGAGAUCUUUAGAUGUGAAUUUUGGAUCGCCAUUUAUCAUAUUUUUGCUUGGAACAGCAACUGUAACUGUUGUUUCUUAAGUUGUAGAACAUUUCUUCUUUAAUAUUUAUAGAGAUAAAUAUAAAAUGUUGAAUUUUGUGUGAAUA